GCGGCGGCUCAGAGCGUGCGGGGCGGCGCGGGGCGUGCAGGUGGCGGCAGAGCUCGGGCGGCUCCGGGACUGGCGGGGCCGCUCGCUUCUCCCCCGCACCCCAGGUUCGCUGAGCGCGCCUCCGGCCCGCCGGACCGUGCCAGCCCGCGCCCUGCUCCCCGCCAGCCCAGCUGCGGGAACGCGGGGAAGGCGGUGCGGGAACCGCGUCCCGGAGGGAGCGGCCGCGGCGCGGGACACUCGGCGGACACCCGGGAGCCUUGCCGCGCGAUCGCUUCCCGCCUCUGCGCCGCCGCUGCCGCCGGGCCGACCUGCGGGCUUGGCCCCGCCGCGCCCGGUCCCGGGUCCGCGCCUGUCGGGGUGCGGGGGGAGGGAUCGGGGGCUGCGGGGCGGCUGCUGCCCGCCCGCCUCGAGUCCCCGUCCCGGGCCCGGGCGGCGGGGCGAGCAUGGAGGAGAAGUACCUGCCGGAGCUGAUGGCGGAGAAGGACUCGCUGGACCCCUCCUUCACGCACGCCCUGCGGCUGGUGAACCAAGAAAUAGAAAAGUUUCAAAAAGGAGAAGGCAAGGAUGAAGAAAAGUACAUUGAUGUGGUGAUUAAUAAGAACAUGAAGCUGGGACAGAAAGUGUUAAUUCCUGUUAAACAAUUCCCUAAGUUCAACUUUGUGGGGAAACUUUUGGGUCCACGUGGCAAUUCUCUGAAACGUUUACAAGAAGAAACCUUGACAAAAAUGUCCAUUCUUGGAAAAGGAUCCAUGAGAGACAAAGCAAAGGAAGAAGAGUUGAGGAAAAGUGGAGAAGCAAAGUACUUCCACCUCAAUGAUGACCUGCAUGUUCUCAUUGAAGUUUUUGCUCCGCCAGCAGAAGCAUAUGCCCGAAUGGGACAUGCUUUAGAAGAAAUCAAAAAGUUUCUCAUUCCUGACUAUAAUGAUGAAAUCAGGCAAGCACAGCUUCAGGAAUUAACAUAUCUGAAUGGUGGUACAGAAAACGCAGAUUUGCCAGUUGUCCGGGGGAAGCCCACUUUGCGUACAAGGGGUGUACCAACCUCCUCGAUAACCAGGGGGAGGGGCGGAGCUACAGCCAGACCAGUUGGAGUUGGCGUACCACGAGGCACUACCACUUCCAGGGGAGUUCUUUCUACCCGAGGGCCAGUGAGUCGGGGAAGAGGACUUCUUACUCCUAGAGCAAGAGGAGUCCCUCCAUCUGGGUACAGACAGCUACCGCCUCCUCCAGCACAGGAGACAUAUGGAGACUAUGAUUAUGAUGAUGGAUAUGGUGCUGCCUAUGAUGAACAAAGUUAUGAUUCCUACGAUAACAACUAUAGCACCCCCACCCAAAGUGGUGCUGAUUACUAUGAUUAUGGACAUGGGCUCAGUGAAGAGACUUAUGAUUCCUAUGGGCAAGAAGAGUGGACUAACUCAAGACACAAGGCUCCCUCAGCGAGGACAGCAAAGGGCGUCUACAGAGACCAGCCAUAUGGCAGAUACUGAUUGUACUGUCUGAUGUUGUGAAAUAGCCAAUCUCCACCAGUCCUGUAUACUGUUCAAAGAAAUAAUCAGCCAUCUUGGAAAGUCAAAGAAACAGGUUGUGCAUCAAGAUCAAGCAAAGGACUUUCCCUCUCACUAUGGACUGCUUAAGAACAGUCAACUCACCAACAUGCCUAGUCAGUAAAUGAAUUUGCUUGGAAACUCGAAAGUCGUCUUAAUUAUUAUUAUUUUUGGUACAGUUUUGUUUUCUGUGAAAUAUUUUAUAAAAUGAUAGACUUUUUGAUUUGGAGAGUUGUUUAAUACAAGGAAAAAACCUUUGUUUUCUCCCUAAUAGCAAAAAAAAAAAAGAGAGUAAUGUGUGUACUACUAAAUAAAAGCUACCCAUUGAAAUCUCUUCUACUUUAAUGUAAGUCUUAAAAAAAAAUCCCACUGGAACAAGCCUCUAACUUUUCCCAGCUCGUGAAUGAUGUACAGCCACAAGUCACUGCAAGAAAUCAAGGUUCUGCAUCCAUUUCCAGAUGUUGAAAUGAUGUAU